rnacentral:rRNA from 1 species
UGAGGAAUAUUGGUCAAUGGGCGAGAGCCUGAACCAGCCAAGUAGCGUGCAGGAUGACGGCCCUAUGGGUUGUAAACUGCUUUUAUAUGGGGAUAAAGUGCGGCACGUGUGCCUUAUUGCAGGUACCUUAUGAAUAAGGACCGGCUAAUUCCGUG